rnacentral:rRNA from 1 species
AGUCAUACGGGCAAGUUUGCUUGCUAGUGGCGGACGGCUGAGUAACGCGUAGGUGACCUGCCCCGAAGUGGGGAAUAACUGCCCGAAAGGGUGGCUAAUGCCGCAUGUGGUGGUUCGUUCGUUCGGACCACUAAAGCAGUAAUGCGCUUCGGGAGGGGCCUGCGUCCGAUUAGCUCGUUGGUGGGGUAACGGCUCACCAAGGCGACGAUCGGUAGGUGGUCUGAGAGGACGAUCACCCAGACUGGGACUGAGACACGGCCCAGACUCCUACGGGAGGCAGCAGUCGGGAAUUUUGCGCAAUGGACGAAAGUCUGACGCAGCAACGCCGCGUGAGGGAUGAAGGCCUUCGGGUUGUAAACCUCUUUUCUCAGGGAAGAUAAUGACGGUACCUGAGGAAUAAGUCACGGCUAACUACGUGCCAGCAGCCGCG